rnacentral:rRNA from 1 species
GACGAACGCUGGCGGCGUGCCUAAUACAUGCAAGUCGAACGCUGAAGCGAGGAGCUUGCUCUUCUUGGAUGAGUUGCGAACGGGUGAGUAACGCGUAGGUAACCUGCCUUUUAGCGGGGGAUAACUAUUGGAAACGAUAGCUAAUACCGCAUAACAAUUGAUGACACAUGUCAUUUAUUUGAAAGGGGCAAUUGCUCCACUACAUGAUUGACCUGCGGUGUAUUAGCUAGUAUGUGAGGUAACGGCUCUACUAGGGGACGGUACAUAGGCGAACUGAGAGGGUGGUCCGGCACAAUGGGACCGAGACACGGCCCAGACUCCUACCGGAGGCAGCAGGAGGGAAACUUCGGGAAUGGGGGGAAAGCUGACCGGGGAACGCCGGGGGAGUGAAGAAGGGUCUCGGAUCGGAAAGCCCCGUUGUAAGGCAAGAACGAGUGGUGGAGGGGAAAGUUCACACUGUGACGGUAGCUAAUCAGAAAGGGACGGCUAACUACGUG